UACGGGGGGGGCAAGCGUUGUUCGGAAUUACUGGGCGUAAAGGGCUCGUAGGCGGCCAACUAAGUCGGACGUGAAAUCCCUCGGCUCAACCGGGGAACUGCGUCCGAUACUGGAUGGCUUGAAUCCGGGAGAGGGAUGCGGAAUUCCAGGUGUAGCGGUGAAAUGCGCAGAUAUCAGGAGGAACACCGGUGGCGAAGGCGGAUCUCUGGGCCUGUUCUGACGCUGAGGCGCGAAAGCUAGGGGAGCGAACAGG
rnacentral:rRNA from 1 species